GACGAACGCUGGCGGCGUGCCUAAUACAUGCCAGUUGAGUGCUGAAGGUUGGUCCUUGUACCAACUGGAUGAGCAGCGAACGGGUGAGUAACGCGUGGGGAAUCUGCCUUUGAGCGGGGGACAACAUUUGGAAACGAAUGCUAAUACCGCAUAAAAACUUUAAACACAAGUUUUAAGUUUGAAAGAUGCAAUUGCAUCACUCAAAGAUGAUCCCGCGUUGUAUUAGCUAGUUGGUGAGGUAAAGGCUCACCAAGGCGAUGAUACAUAGCCGACCUGAGAGGGUGAUCGGCCACAUUGGGACUGAGACACGGCCCAAACGCCUACGGGAGGCAGCAGUAGGGAAUCUUCGGCAAUGGACGAAAGUCUGACCGAGCAACGCCGCGUGAGUGAAGAAGGUUUUCGGAUCGUAAAACUCUGUUGGUAGAGAAGAACGUUGGUGAGAGUGGAAAGCUCAUCAAGUGACGGUAACUACCCAGAAAGGGACGGCUAACUACGUG
rnacentral:rRNA from 1 species